GAUGAACGCUGGCGGCGUGCCUAAUACAUGCAAGUCGAGCGAGGCCCUUCGGGGCCUAGCGGCGGACGGGUGAGUAACACGUGGGUAACCUGCCUGUAAGACUGGGAUAACUUCGGGAAACCGAAGCUAAUACCGGAUAAUUUCGAGCAUCGCAUGAUGCUUGAUGGAAAGGCGGCUUCGGCUGUCACUUACAGAUGGACCCGCGUCGCAUUAGCUAGUUGGUGAGGUAACGGCUCACCAAGGCGACGAUGCGUAGCCGACCUGAGAGGGUGAUCGGCCACACUGGGACUGAGACACGGCCCAGACUCCUACGGGAGGCAGCAGUAGGGAAUCUUCGGCAAUGGGCGAAAGCCUGACCGAGCAACGCCGCGUGAGCGAUGAAGGCCUUCGGGUCGUAAAGCUCUGUUGUUAAGGAAGAACAAGUACGAGAGUAACUGCUCGUACCUUGACGGUACUUAACGAGAAAGCCACGGCUAACUACGUGCCAGCAGCCGCGGUAAUACGUAGGUGGCGAGCGUUAUCCGGAAUUAUUGGGCGUAAAGCGCGCGCAGGCGGUUUCUUAAGUCUGAUGUGAAAGCCCACGGCUCAACCGUGGAGGGUCAUUGGAAACUGGG
rnacentral:rRNA from 1 species